AUUGAACGCUGGCGGCAUGCUUUACACAUGCAAGUCGAACGGUAACAGGGUGCUUGCACCGCUGACGAGUGGCGAACGGGUGAGUAAUGCGUCGGAACGUGCCGAGUAGUGGGGGAUAACGCAGCGAAAGUUGUGCUAAUACCGCAUACGUACUGAGGUAGAAAGUGGGGGACCUUCGGGCCUCACGCUAUUCGAGCGGCCGACGUCUGAUUAGCUAGUAGGUGAGGUAAAGGCUCACCUAGGCGACGACCAGUAGCGGGUCUGAGAGGAUGGGCAGCCACACUGGGACUGAGACACGGGCCAGACUCCUACGGGAGGCAGCAGUGGGGAAUUUUGGACAAUGGGCGAAAGCCUGAUCCAGCCAUGCCGCGUGUCUGAAGAAGGCCUUCGGGUUGUAAAGGACUUUUGUCAGGGAGGAAAUCCCUAGUGCUAAUAACACUGGGGGAUGACAGUACCUGAAGAAUAAGCACCGGCUAACUACGUGCCAGCAGCCGCCGUAA
rnacentral:rRNA from 1 species